rnacentral:rRNA from 1 species
CAGUAGCCGCGGUAAUACAUAGGUGGCAAGCGUUGUCCGGAAUUAUUGGGCGUAAAGGGCUCGCAGGCGGUUUCUUAAGUCUGAUGUGAAAGCCCCCGGCUCAACCGGGGAGGGUCAUUGGGAACUGGGAAACUUGAGUGCAGAAGAGGAGAGUGGAAUUCCACGUGUAGCGGUGAAAUGCGUAGAGAUGUGGAGGAACACCAGUGGCGAAGGCGACUCUCUGGUCUGUAACUGACGCUGAGGAGCGAAAGCGUGGGGAGCGAACAGGAUUAGAUACCCCGGUAGUCCCUGUCUCUUAUAC